GAUAUUGGACCCAAAUGUAGCGGAAGCCUUCCACAACUCCACAAGGUUUACCCAGUAUAAAUAGAUUCGGUGUAUUUCAAAUAUUUAACGUUGCAUAUGCCUCAGUUCAUCAUGCCUUCUUACUGAUUCUAACUAAGCCUCAGAAGCAAUGAACAAUUGAAUAUAGGAAUAUCAUUCUCUCACGCCAGACCGGUUGAAUUUAUUUGAAUGAGUUGUUGAUAGGCAUAGUUUGGCUCAAUCACAACUGAUGAUUCAAUAUGGUCUGAGGGUGUUGCAGCUACUAGCCGAGGAUUAAAGCAGAACGUGGACUUGAAGGUGAUUCUUUCCGAUGCAAAUGUUCCAGGUGAAGGGGAGCAGAAGGUUAUGUCAUACAUUUGUCUUCAAAGAAAUCCCUUGGCUAGCUGAGAGCUUGGAGCUGGUGAGAAGGAAAUCAAUUGUGGUUCGAUAAAUAGGGAAAGCAUUUCUCAGCUGCCAAAAGAACCACUUUGGAGAAACUGGAAGCUAAUAUCAAGACCAGAAGCUAACUUAUAUCCAGCAAAAAGAUGUGCAACAUGAAGCCUCAAAAGUCUUGCACAAAACAAGUCUCAAUGUGCUUUUUGAUUGGCUCAAUCUGUUCAGGCCAACUUCCAUCAAAGAGUUCUCAUACACCAAGUUUCAUUUCAACUGAUUGAUUGGGGUCAAGAAAUACCCAAGUGUACUUGACCUCAAAAGGUAGUUGGUAAGGUCAAGUACAGCUACU
rnacentral:lncRNA from 1 species